rnacentral:rRNA from 1 species
AACGAACGCUGGCGGCAGGCCUAACACAUGCAAGUCGAGCGAAGCCUUCGGGCUUAGCGGCGGAUGGGUGAGUAACGCGUGGAAACGUGCCCUUUGGUACGGAAUAGCCCCGGGAAACUGGGAGUAAUACCGUAUGUGCCCUUCGGGGGAAAGAUUUAUCGCCAAAGGAUCGGCCCGCGUUGGAUUAGGUAGUUGGUGGGGUAAUGGCCUACCAAGCCGACGAUCCAUAGCUGGUUUGAGAGGAUGAUCAGCCACACUGGGACUGAGACACGGCCCAGACUCCUACGGGAGGCAGCAGUGGGGAAUCUUAGACAAUGGGGGAAACCCUGAUCUAGCCAUGCCGCGUGAUCGAUGAAGGCCUUAGGGUUGUAAAGAUCUUUCAGUGGGGAAGAUAAUGACUGUACCCACAGAAGAAGCCCCGGCUAACUCCGUGCCAGCCGCCGCAGUAAAAC